rnacentral:rRNA from 1 species
AUUGAACGCUGGCGGCAGGCCUAACACAUGCAAGUCGAGCGGAGCGGCGGACGGGUGAGUAAUGCCUACGAAGCUGCCUGGUAGUGGGGGAUAACGUCCGGAAACGGGCGCUAAUCCCACAUCCUAUCAGAUGAGCCUAGGUCGGAUUAGCUCGUUGGUGGGGUAAAGGCCUACCAAGGCGACGAUCCGUAACUGGUCUGAGAGGAUGAUCAGUCACACUGGAACUGAGACACGGUCCAGAAUCCUACGGGAGGCAGCAGUAGGGAAUCUUGGGCAAUGGGCGAAAGCCUGAUGGAGCCAUGCCGCGUGUGUGAAGAAGGUCUUCGGAUUGUAAAACUCUUUAAGUUGGGAAGCGUUACCAACAGAGUAAGCACCGGCUAACUUCGUGCCAGCCGCCGCGGUAAUAC